rnacentral:rRNA from 1 species
GAUAACCGCUGAAAGCAUCUAAGCGGGAAGCCCCCUUCAAGAUGAGAUCUCACUGGACGUAAGUCCCUAAAGAGCCGUUCAAGACUAGGACGUUGAUAGGCUGGGUGUGUAAGCGUUGUGAGGCGUUGAGCUAACCAGUACUAAUUGCUCGUGAGGCUUGACCAUAUAACGCCAAAGACGUUG